GCGCCGGUAGCUCAAUUGGAUAGAGCGCUAGACUACGGAUCUGGAGGUUAGGGGUUCGACUCCUCUCCGGCGUGCCA
rnacentral:tRNA from 1 species